GGCAGGAUAGCUCAGCUGGUAAAAGCAUGAGACUCUUAACCUCAGGGUUGUGGGUUCAAGCCCCAUGUCAGCCA
rnacentral:tRNA from 1 species